rnacentral:lncRNA from 1 species
CAGAAUACACCAUCUUUUAAUUUUGUUGCAAAUUGCACACGGUGAAAAUUCCGGCAACUCUUAAGUUUGACCGACGAUGACAUGGACAACCACGUGGCUUUUUUUACACGCUGGUAAGCCAUGUGAGCAAAACGACAUCGUUUUGAUAAUUUGAAGAAUUAAAAAAAAUCCUUGCUUUUCCGGUGAGCCAUUCCAGAAUCCGGCGAGCCAUUCCACCACCACAAACCACCGCAACC